GGCAGAGACUGGUGGCUGGAGGAGACGCCGGCGCUGGAGAGUGCGCUGCGCCGCCGGCCGCUGAGGGACCGCGGGGUUCGCCACUGCUGGCUGCUUCCAGUGUUCGCGGAGAGGUACCGGGGGUGACAGCUCCGGGACCGGCCGAAAGGCGAGGAACCGGAAGCGCGGGGGAGUGCGACCGCCUCAAAUCCAGCCUUCUUGUUUGGUGGGACGACCGUCGGUUCUGUCCGGGAGGAAUGACGGGGUCAAGGUGGGGUCCCCAGGGCCGCGGGCCCGUGAAGCCCCAUUAAAGCGAUUGCGAAAUGCGCUCGGCACUGUCACCUGACCGUUACCCCCGCCCCCGUCCCCUGCGAGCCUUUGUUUACCACGAUCGCGACACCCGGCCCGCU
rnacentral:sRNA from 1 species